CGGGCGGGGGCAGCCCCAGUUUCCCCCUUAACGCUGGCGAUCUCCCGGGCGGGCGAUGAGAAGUUAGGCCGUGGCUGGCUUGGCAAGACGUGGCUUUCUCCCAGGAUUCCGUCUCACAAUCCGUAGGGGACGGAGGAAACUCAACAAGCGGGCUGGCUGAGACGUGCAUGUGGCUCUGGCCCAGCCAGACCCUGACCGUGUCUUCCUACUUCCGUGUCUGAUUGGAAGAAGCAAAUGCUGAUUCCUUUUAUGUGGGAGGCAGAAGCCAAAGAGGACAAGCUAGUCAGAAGCCCUGUGACCUCAGCCAGCAGCAGAAAAGUAACUGCAGCAGAGGAAGAUGUGAAAAAGCUGCCACAUUCAUCAUUGCCGAAAGGCUCCCAAUCUACCCUCAAGACAAUGAUGGGUUGCAAAAAGAAGUCACAUGGGUUUACAAAAAUGUCUGGAGCAGAACAGAACCCUAUACACAUGCAUUGUCAUUGUCUGUCAUUGUGGUAGCACAGAAUCAGAAUGUCACCUGUAGCAGUCAACAUUUAUUGGUCACAAGGGUGGCAUGCUUUUCCAAAGUCACAAGACCUCUUGCAAUAUGCUGGCUGUAGUUCAAUUUCUUGCUGUAAUACCAAUAGCACAGUUUCAGCCAUGUUCUGAAAAUUAAAAAAGUUGGCCCCAAGUGUGGAUUCUGUACAGCUUAUUAGAGCAGAGUAGAUUUAGAUCCAGCUUCUCAGAUAGGCCAGAGAUAGGACUGGUCCCAUUGUGCCCCAUAAAAUCUACCAAGCAAUCCAGAAGGACACCAUGGUUAAUGUUAUCAAAGCUACCAAGAGGUCCAGGAGAACUGAUAAUGGUCAACCUGGGGGUCAUUUCUCAACACUAUCUCUCAGGAAUGUUGUAAGGAUAGAAGCAGUGGUGUUACCAAUUUUUAAAAAAGCUAGGAGAAGAAGGGUGGAAAGUAUAUUUUGCCAAGCACAUACAGCUUUGUCCCAAAUUUCUAAAAGAAAUAGCCGUAUAUUACACAUUAAUGCUCUCAACCUAAGUAUAAUUGUCUGGAAUAAGUCCUACUGAUUUUCAUGGAGUUAAUAUUUCAAUGGACUGAAAUUUUGCACUACAGACUUAUUUUAAUUUUCUAGUUUAUGACACAGUGAUAAUAUUUUGUAUGUGAAAUGUAGCUUUCUUCCUGUAACCUUCAGGGUCUGGCUACAAGGGGAGAUGUGGGAACAAACUCCUUCCCCUAUGGUGCCACCUGUGGCUAAGAUCGGAUGAAACAAAGGAUUAAAAUGCAUGUUAAAAAGAGCUUUGGAACAGACUCCAUCUUGGGCAGUGGGGGGGCAGCCUAUUCCAAAUGCAGAAUGUGACUUUCUACUUGUAGCAGACCUGUCCAGCUUCCUCGAAAUCUCUCUGACCAGUGUCUUAUCAUAAGUGAAAUAGAAAAAGCUUUUCCCCUGUGAUAAUAUCAAUUAGUUUUCAGAAAGCAUUUCUGUUUGAAAAUGUAGAACAUAGUGAUAAAGUACAAAUUAAUAAAGAAUAAAAGUUAUAAUGGCAUUUGACACAAUUUGUGUACCCAGCCACAAAGUAUUUCAGGCAUUCCACCUCUUUCCCCCAGUCUACUUCUUUCCACAGCCUCAUUAGUAUUUAGUGGUUACUGCUUUGGGAGAGGCCACACAAUGAGGCUGUAGUGAGUUAGGGUUAGGGUGGGUUUCAAUUUUUUGCCUUCUAACCUUUUUUCCCCCCUCUAAAGCAUCUCCCUCCUUUUCUGAAAAUACUGGGGCUUCUCCUAGCCUACUAAUACACCUUUUGUUUUUCAAUAGCCAUGUUUUGGCAAUACAUCUAUCAUAAUUUGGCACCUGAGUUUGCUAGUAGAAUGUACAGAUGGAAUCUCCAACAAAAUGUGUGUCUUUUGCCUUUCAAGACACACAUCCUUUCAUGCCCCUUUCAAGGAUAUUCCAUUCCAUUUCUUCUCUCAACUGGCAGUCAGCAUUGUAUGCCCAUUUUGUAUGCACAUUCCUACUUGCUCUGUUUUCAGGGGCUUUCUUACCAUAGGUUGUUUUCCCCGAAGUUUUUUUUUAAAGCAGUGGGGAAAGGGGGUUCGAUAAACCCUGGAGUUUCCCCAGGCUGGUGAUAACUCCUUGUGCCCAAAUGAUGGUAUUUUGGCUACAAAAUUAUAGGUACUUGAAGAAUGCAUUAUGAACAUGUAUGAUUAUUUUUAUUGUCACUUGAUAUUGUGGUAUUAAGUAUUUGUUACUGUUCUAAGAAAAUGAUGUUCUAUAUAUACUUAUGGAAAUAACUAUUUAACUUUUUAGCCUUUAACCUUUGGAUGAAAUAGUAAGCAACGUGACUGGUUGAUUGUGUUAACAUUUAAAAAUCUGGAACAAAAUUAAUUUCCUCCAGGCCUAAAGGUUUGUUUAGAUAAUGGUCUUACUGUACAAACAAGCCACCACACAAACCCAGAGCCAGCCCUGUGCCAGUUCUGUGCCAGCUUUCACACCCUUCCAGCUACUGCUUCCAGGUGCACUCCAGCCACUUCCAGGUCAGUGAAAGGAACCAGGAAAGCAGGAAGAGUGCCCUGCUGGCUAAGGGGGGGUUGCCCAGUAGACUUACAGCCAGACAACCUUUUUAGGUUUCUGGUAAGGGCAGCAGCCAAAGAGCGGAUGUCAAAGGGCAUAGCCCAUAAGGCACCUGCUUGGCACCUGCUUGGAAGCUGCUGGGCCUGUCCCCUUUCUUUCCCCCUUUUUGUUUGUUUGUUUUGUUGUAUGCAUCUGUGUGUAUGUUUUGUGUGUAUGGAGUGGGACUUGGAUAAUUUGGCCAGAAUAUUGAAAGGUGUGAGAGUUUUACCAUAGGCACUUCCCCCUUCUUUCAGUAUUUGUUUGUAAUUGAUUUUAACAUGUCACUGGGAAUUCCUGGAGAGCAGUGGAUGCCCCUAUCACUGUAGUCACGGGCAGUGUAAGGUAUAGCACUGGGAGAUCAACUAGCCAACAAAGGGGAAAGGGGAUUAGAUGUCAGACUGCUAUCCCCUCCUCUGGUUUUCCCCCUGCCAGUUGAUACCAGGCAGCCGUGUCAGCCAAAUGCCCCCAGGCCUGGUGGUGCUGCUAAUGAAUGCCAGGUCAGUCCAGAAUAAAACAGCUCUUGUCCAUGAUUUAAUCAAGGGUUUAAUUGGCAUGUAUUACAGAGACCUGGGUGGGAGAAUUAGGGGUGAUACGCUUACACAGCUUUGCCCACCCAGGUAUUCUAUACAGCACCAACCUCAUCCUGAGGGUUAGGGAGAGGGAGUGGCCAUGGUCAACAAAAAUGCAAUCCCUCUCAAUUGAAUUGAAAGACAGGUUUUAGAGUGUUUACACCUUUUAAGUUUUAGGCAACUUCUUAAUAGUUUUACAGUGGCUUCUCCUGAAACCUUUAAUCUUGUUGCUGAGCAUGUGAUUAUUUAUUUGUAUUUUAUACUAUGAAUUUUAUGCUGCCCACAGCUUUGGUAUCCUUUUUAUAAAGUGGUAUAUAAAAGUGUUUAAUAAUAAAUAAAACACAACUUGUUUUUUAAAGGAA